ACAGUACAAACUGAGCAGACAGCGGAUUUUUCCGUGUGGUCGGGCAUUUUUUGCAGCGAAUGACAGACAUUCGUGGGACAGUU
rfam:Firmicutes bacterium CAG:466 genomic scaffold, scf208